CGAAAGAACUCGUUUUUUCUUUAAUACCAGGAUUCUUUGGGCGGUGAGUGCCAGAGGGCCCCAGUCACCCAGAACCCCCACCCCGAGUCAAAGCGCUGAAAUGAGCCCCGCGGCAGGACACGAGAUGACCAAGGUUUCACAUAAUAAUGGUAAUUCAGUUCUGCACAUUAGCUCUCCCUGCCAUCAUCCAUCCGGUUCAUAGAAGUGGACAGGAUAUGAGGAAGGCUUCAGUGAUC
rnacentral:lncRNA from 1 species